UGGGGAAUAUUGCACAAUGGGCGAAAGCCUGAUGCAGCAACGCCGCGUGAGUGAUGAAGGUCUUCGGAUUGUAAAGCUCUGUCUUUUGGGACGAUAAUGACGGUACCAAAGGAGGAAGCCACGGCUAACUACGUGCCAGCAGCCGCGGUAAUACGUAGGUGGCGAGCGUUGUCCGGAUUUACUGGGCGUAAAGGGUGCGUAGGCGGAUGUUUAAGUGAGAUGUGAAAUACCCGGGCUUAACUUGGGUGCUGCAUUUCAAACUGGAUAUCUAGAGUGCAGGAGAGGAGAAUGGAAUUCCUAGUGUAGCGGUGAAAUGCGUAGAGAUUAGGAAGAACACCAGUGGCGAAGGCGAUUCUCUGGACUGUAACUGACGCUGAGGCACGAAAAGCGUGGGUAGCAAACAGGAUUAG
rnacentral:rRNA from 1 species